rnacentral:rRNA from 1 species
GACGAACGCUGGCGGCGUGCUUAACACAUGCAAGUCGAACGAAGAGCGAUGGGUGCUUGCUUCUAUCAAUCUUAGUGGCGAACGGGUGAGUAACGCGUAAUCAACCUGCCCUUCAGAGGGGGACAACAGUUGGAAACGACUGCUAAUACCGCAUACGAUCUAAUCUCGGCAUCGAGGAUAGAUGAAAGGUGGCCUCUACAUGUAUGCUAUCACUGAAGGAGGGGAUUGUGUCUGUUUAGCUAGUUGGAGGGGUAACGGCCCACCAAGGCGAUGAUCAGUAGCCGGUCUGAGAGGAUGAACGGCCACAUUGGGACUGAGACACGGCCCAGACUCCUACGGGAGGCAGCAGUGGGGAAUCUUCCGCAAUGGACGAAAGUCUGACGGAGCAACGCCGCGGGAGUGAUGACGGCCGUCGGGUUGUAAAGCUCUGUUAAUCGGGACGAAAGGCCUUCUUGCGAACAGUUAGAAGGAUUGACGGUACCGGAAUAGAAAGCCACGGCUAACUACGUG